rnacentral:pre_miRNA from 1 species
UUGUGUUGACUUCUUAAAUGAACGUGGAGCCCAGUGGUUGCACUGGGCUCCACGUUCAUUUAAGAAGUCAANNN